rnacentral:rRNA from 1 species
UGGGGAAUUUUGGACAAUGGGCGAAAGCCUGAUCCAGCAAUGCCGCGUGUGUGAAGAAGGCCUUCGGGUUGUAAAGCACUUUUGUCCGGAAAGAAAUCCUUGGCUCUAAUACAGUCGGGGGAUGACGGUACCGGAAGAAUAAGCACCGGCUAACUACGUGCCAGCAGCCGCGGUAAUACGUAGGGUGCAAGCGUUAAUCGGAAUUACUGGGCGUAAGCGUGCGCAGGCGGUUUGCUAAGACCGAUGUGAAAUCCCCGGGCUCAACCUGGGAACUGCAUUGGUGACUGGGCAGACUAGAGUAUGGCAGAGGGGGGUUAGAAUUCCACGUGUAGCAGUGAAAUGCGUAGAGAUGUGGAGGAAUACCGAUGGCGAAGGCAGCCCCCUGGGGCCAAUACUGACGCUCAUGCACGAAAGCGUGGGGAGCAAACAGGAUUAGAUACCCUGGUAGUCCACGCCCUAAACGAUGUCAACUAGUUGUUGGGGAUUCAUUUCCUUAGUAACGUAGCUAACGCGUGAAGUUGACCGCCUGGGGAGUACGGUCGCAAGAUUAAAACUCAAAUGAAUUGACGGGGUCAUAGCUGUUUCC